rnacentral:tRNA from 1 species
GAGGAUAUAGCUCAGUGGUAGAGCACUUGCCUAGAAUGCAAGAGGCCCUAGGUUUGAUCCCCAGAAACCUCA